CCUGUCUUCUGGUAUAUUUC
rnacentral:snRNA from 1 species